GAUGUAUUUCCACUCCAGACGGAGUGCAGGUUACGUCUACAGACAUUCUAAAUAAUCCCUCUUUUGUUGGUGUUAACUUCAGCUCAGCUGUGCUCUUAUCAUUGGCUGCUGAGGGGGGGGGCUGUAACUGAGGCCCUCACACAGGCUGCAUCACAGCUUGUUUAUGAUUUCACACACACACACACACACACACUGACAAACUGACCUCAACUUCCCUCUUUUGGGAUGAACACAGGUCUGCGCUUGCGAUUUCUUUUCCUAACGAACAAAAAGAUUUUUGAUUUUUAUUCUACAGUUCCACACGUCCCUCUGUGAAAACAUGAUGGAGACAGAUGCAGGACGUGGGUCCUUUCGUGAACAGAUGUCAACGGGGUGGAGACUGGUGAACGACUUCUGACCCCAUGUGAUGUAUUCACCUACUUUGCAUACUUUAGAAAACUUUUUUUUAUUCUGCCUGUCAUGUGCAGCAAACAGUGAACUGGGUACCUCCACAUUCUAAUGACACACAUUACACGCUGUUGUUUUUAUUUUUAUUUUUCAGAGGACGCUCUGAGCCAACACUCAGCCUUACAGGAAGCCCUGUUUCCCUGUGGCUCACACACAGACAUGAUGUAGGUUCAAUCAGAGGAUGUGAACCAGUGGUCAUCACACCUAAAUCUGACCACAGACCAUGUGAACAACAACACCCUCUUAAAGGAAGCCAUAGAUGGUGUUACUGCAGACACCACUAAGCUACUGAAACAUUGGAUGCUACAGGCCACAAAGAGAGCCUGUCUAAAUUACACUUUGUUCAGACAAAGGUUAUUUUCUGGGUCAUUGUAAUUACAGCUGAUGGCAAAUCCAUCUCACCCAACAGAGUUGAAGCAAUUUGAAACCUGCCUAAACCGUGCACGUAUAAACAGCUGAUGUCUUUUCUAGGUUUUUGUUCUUAUUGUAGGACUUUCGUUCCUAACUUUACUGUCUUUGAGGCCCCACUCAGGGUUCUGAUGCAGACGUCUUCAUCGUCCACUUCUUGUCUCACGUGGACGUCUGAGGCUGAACAACGUUCACUGACCUCAUGCUUGCUCUUCAGGCUCCUACUUUGGGUCUUCCUGAUCUGACCCUACGCGACCUUUCACUCAAACAGUGGAUGAGAAAUCAGGUUGUACGACUUCUGUUCUUUUGUCCUCAUACUGUGUCUUUGAUUCUUUUGAAAAACAUCACAUCUUUCCACAGCUCGACGGCUUAGAUACAACACCACCUUACUCAACAUGCUGAACGUUACUAUCAAGAGGUCGUCUUGAAGUCUGGCACUUUGCUAAGACACUACUCUGCUCAGGCUGCAGAGUUGAUUGUGUUGACUGAAGCUAUUAAACUAGCAGAAGGAGAGUCUGUUACCAUCUACACAGACUCACAGACGCUCUGUGGAAGCAUGGGAAGCUUUGAAGUCUGAUUGCAAACCUAUCUUACAUCAUGAUAAGGUUCUGCUUUGCUGGACGCUGUCCUGCCACCUACAGCUAAUGCUGUUUGUAACUGUCCAACAUCAGUGACGACUUUGUUUGUGCCGACAUGCAGCUGCAGACGCUGCUGCGAAGGUCACUGCCCAACAACCCCUCCCUCUCCUGAUCCUCGUUUCCUCUCCUGAUCCUUGUUCCCUCUCCAACUCUCUCUAUCCUUUCCUUCCUCUCUCCCUGUGCUUUAAACAUUUUGUACCUCACAGGAACGCAGACUCUGGCUGACGAAUGGUUCCACCUGUAGCCAUGGAGUCUGGUUUGGGCCUGAUGGCAGCCGUGCCGCCCAAACACCUUUUCCCCACAAUUCAGAUUUCCAACAGGUGAAAACAGGCGACAGGACCAUUACACCAUCCAACGAGGGGACUGGCGAUCGUUAAGGAGUUCAGGAGGAAGCAUUGGGACUCAAAACGGUGGCGAGGUCCCUUCCAGGUCCUUCUGACGACCCACACGGCUGUGAAGAUCACAGAAAGAGUGACUUGGAUCCACUCCAUCCAGGAAGGUCCCGGAUCCGACAGACGACCCUCCAUCUACACCACACGGAGAAUUCACCACUAACGAAAAGAAUUAAGAAGGACGACCCUCGCUGUGCUCACACACGCACUGAGGCGAGGCUGCGUUGACCGUUCAGCUAAAGGUGUGAGCCAAGCGCCGCCUGAAGCUGCGCCGGUGAAUCACACUAUCAGACCAUACAUCUACACACACGCUCCUGAGAAAACACACACACGAGCAGCCUUGAGUUGCCGACGCUGGACGACGUGUAGACUCUUCACAUCACGGGAGUGACAGUGACUCAGACGACAUUGGGAGGAAACCUGACGGUGAUAACGAACCCCAAGUGUCUCUGUGAUCAGCUGAUCACAACCAUCCUUUUACGAUGCAAACAAAUCGUUAAUGAGUGUACUCGACUUCUACAAGGGGACAGUCCACCAGAUGACGCAUUUCAAACAGUUCUAACAAGAAUGGAAACCCUUAAACGCUGUCUGGAAUGCUCAAGAGGGAGGUUGAUGGAUGCAACAGCAGUACAAGACAUCCUUGAAAACAUUGAGAAAUAUACUCAGGAGGUCAAGGAAAUGCAACAGGGGGCUCAACAAGUGCUUAUAGACACAAGCUGUUACGGCGAUAAAGAGGCACGUGAUGGCUGGACUGUCAUGCGAGGUGGUGUCAGCAAAAGUAAAACUCACAAGUCAUAGAGUCAAUUGACUCUCUGCAUAUUCGUUGAACCGAGGGCUGCUUGAAGUGCUGUUUCUGUUGUAAUAGAGAUUAACGUGCACACGCAUCAUAGACCAGAAGCACAAGUGGCCAUUGGUUUUAAUGCUGUCAACUAGGGCUCAAGCAUGCAUUAAAGAGUCCAUUUACCUAAGAUGAUGUGGUUGUUAUUGCUCCUGAUACAAAGUUUUCUGUGUGUACACUUAAUGUCACUUUUCACAAAGACAAAUUCUGUAACAUCUGUUUUCUCUGUUUGAUUAUGGCAGGUAAUGUUUAUAUUAGUGUUUAGAAAGAUAAAAGAAGGUACAGUACUGGGUUGUAUAGCACCGACGCCUGUGUGGUUACGUGUAACACUUGACUAUUUUAAAUAGAUUUCAGUAUUCCCCAGUAAAUAAAAAAAAUUCUACAAAUGUC